AUGAACGCUGGCGGCGUGCCUAAUACAUGCAAGUCGAGCGAACGGACGAGAAGCUUGCUUCUCUGAUGUUAGCGGCGGACGGGUGAGUAACACGUGGAUAACCUACCUAUAAGACUGGGAUAACUUCGGGAAACCGGAGCUAAUACCGGAUGAUAUUUUGAACCGCAUGGUUCAAAAGUGAAAGACGGUCUUGCUGUCACUUAUAGAUGGAUCCGCGCUGCAUUAGCUAGUUGGUAAGGUAACGGCUUACCAAGGCAACGAUGCAUAGCCGACCUGAGAGGGUGAUCAGCCACACUGGAACUGAGACACGGUCCAGACUCCUACGGGAGGCAGCAGUAGGGAAUCUUCCGCAAUGGGCGAAAGCCUGACGGAGCAACGCCGCGUGAGUGAUGAAGGUCUUCGGAUCGUAAAACUCUGUUAUUAGGGAAGAACAUAUGUGUAAGUAACUGUGCACAUCUUGACGGUACCUAAUCAGAAAGCCACGGCUAACUACGUG
rnacentral:rRNA from 1 species